GACAGGAUGGCCGAGUGGUUAAGGCGACAGUUUUGAACUCGUCAUUGCGUCCCGGAGUCCCCUCCGGCCGUGAUGACCUACAACAUUCCAGCUGUUUCACUUUGUGAGCGUGAGUUCAAACCUCACUCCUGUCG
rfam:Puccinia graminis f. sp. tritici CRL 75-36-700-3 supercont2.17 genomic scaffold, whole genome shotgun sequence.